CUUGAUGAACGUCCCUCGGUUGUGAUCGCGGCAUAAGUAUGGAGCGUCCUCUUUGGCUAAUAGGAUGCUUGGGCCAACCUCGACUAAAAGUGGAGAAAUAUCAUCGAAUUGAUCAUAAUCUACUGAAAUGUCAGUUUUGUCCUCAACUCCAAUGAUUUUUCUUUUUCCUGGAAGAACUAUCUGGUGCUUUGGCUGGUCAUCUAACUUGAGUGACAUAGUAAACUUCACAUAGAAAACUUGAGUCACAUAAAUGGCUAGGACGAAUGGUUUGUCUCUGUAUCUAAUCUUGUUGAGGUCCACUAUUGUCAUCCCAUAGUUGUCUAUCAUUACACCUCCUCUAUUAAGUUUCACCCAUUAGCACCAAAAUAGAGAGAUUUUCAAACGUCCAUAGUCGAGUUCCCAUAU
rnacentral:lncRNA from 1 species